ensembl:lncRNA MIR100HG mir-100-let-7a-2-mir-125b-1 cluster host gene
AAUCGCUGUCAAUUUCAGGAAACUAUAGGAACACUAGGAACAGACGCCUAAAUGACUUUGACCUCAAGUGCAAGUACUUAGGUGAAGAUCCCGGUGUUACACAUCCAAUCGUUCACCUCCUUCCAAGACUAUGACAUUCCAGGAAACCUUCACUGCUAAGAGGAACUAAGAUCUAGAGUAUCUCCUCGAGGAAGUACAACUGACUUGUCUUUGGACAAAAUUGAGAAGAACUCAUAAACUUGGCUUCCUCGCUUCUGCUCCUCAGACGCGCGUGGAUGAUUUGAAGAUAUUAGCCUAACAAGAUGGAAGCAGGUUUAAAAUUUUACAUAAGAAGUUACCUUUUUCAGGUAAUGGUGUUUUUCUGUAAUUUUCCCAAACCUUUCGCUUCCUCAAGUAUUGCAAAUUUUUAGGGCAUGCUUGAAUGAUUUAAUUAUGAAGAAUAACUACAUUUUAAACUUAAUUUUUUAAAAAAGAAACCAGUUUUAUAAUUUUCCUAGCCAAGGAGUAGAGCAGGCAUGACAUUCAACUCUAUGGAGUUUGGAAAAUUUUUAGAAAUUUAUUACUGAACAGCACUUGGUUUUUUGGAUUUGAAAAUUAAGCCAUAGAGCUACAACUAAAUUCUGUUUUGCCAAACUUCACAGCACCAGCAGGCUCUGAGCAAUCAUAAGCAUUUGAAACUAGCAGGCACUGCCCCUUAACUCUGUCGCUAUCUUGGGCAUUUGAAUGAAAAAAUAUAAGUAUUACAGGAUUGGCUCUAAAAAGCCUACCAUGUGUUCUGAAUUCCUGGAAGAUAGAGCUUAUAUAAAUUACAUAAUAACAAUAUUGAUUUUUUUUUUUACUUUAGUCAUAGAUUGGCAAUACUAUAUGGCACUUUAUGAAACUAUUCCCAUGCAUAUAUUCAGUGAGUAGGAUUUGAUCUUAGCUUUCAUGAUACAGGCAGUUUCCUUUUAGUGUCAUUGAAGGGCUUUAUGCCACCUAAAAAUGUUUAAUAACAUAAAUUAUAUAUUUGCUUUAUAAGUUACAUUACUCGGCCUUUGUCACUGCUUAUCAGCAUUAACCCAUAUUUUCCAACUUGUUAAUAUUACUAAGAGAGCCCACGGAUUCUUGCUUAAUGAAGCAAGCCAAAAUUUCUUCUGAAAAAAA